rnacentral:rRNA from 1 species
GACGUAGGGGGCCAGCGUUGUUCGGAAUUACUGGGUGUAAAGGGUUCGUAGGCGGUGUGGCAAGUUGGGAGUGAAAUCUCUGGGCUCAACCCAGAGGCUGCUUCCAAAACUGCUGUGCUUGAGUGUGAGAGAGGCUCGUGGAAUUGCAGGUGUAGCGGUGAAAUGCGUAGAUAUCUGCAGGAACACCCGUGGCGAAAGCGGCGAGCUGGAUCACUACUGACGCUGAGGCGCGAAAGCCAGGGGAGCAAACGGG